AAAAAAAUCAUGAAAUUUUUACCCCUAUUGACCGUAUCUGUGGCCCUGGUAUUAUUAACGGGCCUUACGUCUGCCGAACCGACACCCGGCAAUCCUCGCUAUGGCGGCCGAGAUAGACGGAUACCAGGACGUUAAGAACAGGACAAUUACAGGAUUCAAAUAUUUUAAAAUGAUAAUAUAAAAAAUUAAAUAAAAAAAAUUAAAUCUUGAAAUUUU